GCGGCUUGGGACCGGAAGACCAGAGGGGUACGUCUGGGGUAGGAGUGAAAUCCCGUAAUCCUGGACGGACCACCGGUGGCGAAAGCGCCUCUGGAAGACGGAUCCGACGGUGAGGGACGAAAGCUCGGGUCACGAACCGGAUUAGAUACCCGGGUAGUCCGAGCUGUAAACGAUGUCUGCUAGGUGUGCCACAGGCUACGAGCCUGUGGUGUGCCGCAGGGAAGCCGUGAAGCAGACCGCCUGGGAAGUACGUCCGCAAGGAUGAAACUUAAAGGAAUUGGCGGGGGAGCACUACAACCGGAGGAGCCUGCGGUUUAAUUGGACUCAACGCCGGACAUCUCACCAGCAUCGACAGUAGGAGUGACGGUCAGUGUGAUGAGCUUACCAGACCUACUGAGAGGAGGUGCAUGGCCGCCGUCAGCUCGUACCGUGAGGCGUCCUGUUAAGUCAGGCACGACGUCGAUUCCCAAGGACUC
rnacentral:rRNA from 1 species